UACGUAGGGGGCAAGCGUUGUCCGGAUUUAUUGGGCGUAAAGAGCGUGUAGGCGGUUUGGUAGGUCCGCUGUGAAAACUCGAGGCUCAACCUCGAGACGCCGAUGGAAACCAUCAGACUAGAGUCCGGAAGAGGAGAGUGGAAUUCCUGGUGUAGCGGUGAAAUGCGCAGAUAUCAGGAAGAACACCGGUGGCGAAGGCGGCUCUCUGGUCAGUAACUGACGCUGAGGCGCGAAAGCGUGGGGAGCGAACAGG
rnacentral:rRNA from 1 species